GUCAAUGAGUCACCACAUACAAGAAUCAAGCGGAAUAGUCAAUGAGAAAGAGCCGACGAAAAUAUUUGACGACAAUUCGGCGUGUAUCUCUCAACUUAAAGAAGGCCACAUUAAGAGUGACAGGACAAAGCACAUCCCUCCAAGAUUUUUCUCAUACAUACGGGAGCUCGAGAAAAAUAAAGAAGUGGACAUUGAGUAUGUACGGUCAUGCGACAAUCCAGCUGAUUUGUUUACAAAAGCUCUUCCGACUACAACAUUCCGAAAACACGUCUAUGGUAUCGGAAUGCGGCAUUUGCGUGACCUGUGACGAGAAAGCUAUGUCUACUAUUAUCAGGGAGAGGUUACGGCAGUGUACUCUUUUUCCCUUGUCAUGGUUUUUGUCCCAAUGGGGUUUUCCAUGACUAGGUUUUUAACGAGGUACGUAAUACAAGAUGGAUAAUCAAGGGGGAGUGUUAGAAGAUAAAUAUGGAAAUUGGAUGAUUAUCCAGCUUGGACACUUGUCCUUCUCCCCUCAUCAGCUUUGCACCAUCACCACUGCACGUGUCAGUCCAAUGGUUUUGUCUUUUUGUGUGUUUAACCGACUUCUCCCUUCUAUAUAAAGGAUUUCAUGUUCACUUGUAAUAAUAUAUAUGAGCAAUUAGUUUUACGUAUCUCUCUCCCUCGUAACAAACAAAAACAUCACUUUCAUCUCUCCCUGUCUCCCACUAUCGUUUCCUUCUUCUUUCUUAUAUACUAAACACAUAAAAAAAUAAUAUAAUUAAUAUUCAGAUAUAUAAAUACCUCACAUUUAUUACACAACACUAUGUUGUUUCUUUAACCUAAUAGCUUCUCUCUUGAGCUUGGAAAUAAACGCAUUCUCAUGUUUUUUUUUUCAUGUGUAAAAUAGUUGCAUCGAAGCUACACCAUUCAGCCACAUUGAUCCUUGUUAUAUGAACCUCUGUUAGUGCUGGUUUAGUUCUAGUCCAUGGGUUUGGAGGAGUUGUCUUCUCUUGAAGACAUGUAAUGGGAGAACUGUCUCUGCAGCUUGGUCGUAGAAUGGUGUGAUAAUGCUCUACAAAGCUUCUCUAUGUUUAGAAGCUUGGGAUGAAGCACUCAAUGAGAUAAUCAAGUUAUCAUAUGAGAUGAUCCAAAAGGUACUGUACUCAGAAAUGGGUUUAGAUAAUCAUCAAAUACAUAUUAGAAAAGUAUGCCGAUGGUAGAAGUAGAACAAUAACAAACGGAGAUCCAAAACAACCAGCUCUCUAGCGUCUUCUUUAUCAUACAAAAGACUCUCACCCAAAGUGGAAGUAAACCUAUUCCUUGGCGGAUUUGUUGUUGAGAGCACAUCAGACAUGGAGAUUGGAGCUCGGAGUGAUCUGCGAAUCUUGUGAUCACGUAGGAGAAGAUGGAGUUGAUGAAGAGAAUGAGGAUGAGUAGCCACUCGUUAAAGGCUAAUGCCAAAGCUCUGGUGAAACUCCGUGAGCUUGUCUGAGGUUUCAUGGAGAGAUAGCCAUCUUGUUGGUAUGGUAGAAACAUAUAAAGAUCGAAGAAUCAAUCAAUUAUGGGGCAAAUUUUCAAAUCUGCAAAGCAAAACGUUUUAGUUAUACUACAAAAUAUUGCAGAUUGCUGCAGGAAAAAAAACAGAGACAAGAAGAGAAAGUUGACCAAACAUACAUAGAGAUUUGAUCCUUUGUCUUUAGCAGUAGAAGGAACUGCACAAAAAGAAACCAUAACAGAGGAACAAGAUCAAGCUACCAAAAAUCAUUAGAAAGCAUGAUAAAUUUUAGUUGUUCUUGAGUUAAAGCAAGACUCUUUAUAACAUGAGAACCAGUUAGCUU